rnacentral:lncRNA from 1 species
UACAAUACCCAUCAAAACUGACUAUAUUCUUACAGGGGAAAUUAUGGUCAUUCAACACAACAGAAGAGUUCCAAGCAUUCAUAAAUAAAAGAACAGACCUGAACAGAAAAUUCUAUGUCCAACAACAGAACUCAAGAGAAUUAUCAAAAGGAGACAGAGCCAAGGUGGCAACUUAGUAGCACCUAAAGCCUCAUAUAACCUCUCCAACUAUCCUUCCAAACCAAUAUUUAAAUCUCACUUCAAAGAAAAAAGAAAUCCAAACCCAAUGAGAAGUCACAAGACUCUCCUACUGAAAACAACUUGAAAGUGUUUCUCUUUCUGUCUCUCUCUCAAUCUUUUUCUCUGUCUCUGUCUCUCCCUGUCCCUUCAUCUCUCUUUCAAAAAAUUUAUAGAUAAGCUAGAAGAAAGAAAAAGAAGAAAAAGAAGGAAAGAAAAAGAAAAGAAGCAAGAGAAAAACAAAUAAAGAAUAAAAAAGGAAAAGAAAGUGGAAGAGA